UAUGACGCUCUCCCCAAGGACACAAGCCAUGCAUGCCCGCACACCCGGGAAGCGGCGGACGGCUCAGGACAACGGUUGCACCCCCCGCGGCGGUCCCUGCUAGCCGGACACCGCUGGCAACCCGGCGCCAAGACGUGCGCGCAAGUGCGGACGCCCGCGGGCGAGCAGCGUGACGCAGA
rnacentral:rRNA from 1 species